AUACUUACCUAGCACUGGGGAUGCCUUGAUCAAAUAAAAGACUACCCCCGAACAGAGGCUUCUCACUGCACUUCGAGAGGCUGACGUUCGCCUCUUCCGCAAAUCGCGGUUGUAUGGGGUGCAUAAUUUUUGAUAGCGGGGACUGCGUUCGCGCUGUCCCUA